GGAUGCGAUCAUACCUGCACUAAAGCACCGGAUCCCCAUCAGAACUCCGAAGUWAAGCGUGCUUGGGCGAGAGUAGUACUAGGAUGGGUGACCUCCUGGGAAGUCCUCGUGUUGCAUUCC
rnacentral:rRNA from 16 species